AAGAAAGAACUGACACUCAGUGCACAUGCUCAGUGCGUCUCCGCUGGCUCGGUGCUGAAGUUGGGCGGACGGAAGAAAAACACCCCUUCGAGAAAUUAAACAUCAGCAUACUGUACUGUACUAUACAAAAACAACAAGACAUCCAAAAUAAAGCGAUUGUACUGCCUCUGCGACUCCUCUGCGACCCAGAGCCUGCCAAUGCUUGCUUCUGAUCAGGGAUGAGACAUGCAGUUGGUGGUUUCGUUUACAAGUGCUAAAGAAGCUGAAAUGAGGAAAAGGCAGCAACCAAUCAACGAUGGAAAUCCUCAAGCACCAGGCAACCAGAGGCAGGACACUUGUUUUUUUUUGUCUUGUUGCUGCAGCUGUUCAUGACGUAGCGUCACAGAUUCACCGCCAUUCCUCAUUGUUUGGAGUCUCUAUUUCUGUCUGAGGCCUGGGAACAACAACACCACCCAGCAUCCCUCC